AGUGGGAUAGCUGGGUCAAAUGGCGGUUGCUUUCCUAGAUUUCCAAGGAAUCCUCAUACUGCUUUCCAUAUUGGCUGCACCAAUUUGCAGUCCCACCAGCAAU
rnacentral:pre_miRNA from 1 species